GACAGAGGCCUCAAGCGUUAUGCGGAAUCACUGGGCUUAAAGCGUGUGUAGGCGGACGCCUAAGUGUCUUGUGAAAUCCCCCGGCUCACCCGGGGAACUGCUGGGCAUACUGGGCGUCUUGGGCCAACUAGGGGCAACUGGAACAAGCGGUGGAGCGGUGAAAUGCGUAGAUAUCGAGAGGAACACCUGCGGCGAAGGCGGGUAGCUGGGCCGACACUGACGCUGAGGCGCGAAAGCCAGGGGAGCGAACGGG
rnacentral:rRNA from 1 species